AGUGAACGCUGGCGGUAGGCCUAACACAUGCAAGUCGAACGGCAGCACAGGAGAGCUUGCUCUCUGGGUGGCGAGUGGCGGACGGGUGAGGAAUACAUCGGAAUCUACUUUUUCGUGGGGGAUAACGGAGGGAAACUUACGCUAAUACCGCAUACGACCUACGGGUGAAAGCAGGGGAUCUUCGGACCUUGCGCGAUUGAAUGAGCCGAUGUAGGAUUAGCUAGUUGGCGGGGUAAAGGCCCACCAAGGCGACGAUCCGUAGCUGGUCUGAGAGGAUGAUUAGCCACACUGGAACUGAGACACGGUCCAGACUCCUACGGGAGGCAGCAGUGGGGAAUAUUGGACAAUGGGCGCAAGCCUGAUCCAGCCAUACCGCGUGGGUGAAGAAGGCCUUCGGGUUGUAAAGCCCUUUUGUUGGGAAAGAAAUCCAGCUGGUUAAUACCCGGUUGGGAUGACGGUACCCAAAGAAUAAGCACCGGCUAACUUCGUGCCAGCAGCCGCAGUAA
rnacentral:rRNA from 1 species